GGCUGAGGCUGCUAAGGGUCUUGGAUUUCCGCUGAGAGGUUCAACCGAUCUCUAGGAGGCGUGGCUCAGCCCGUUGGGUGCCACCGGCAGGUGACAGAUUCCUGCUUGCAGGAUUGUCAGCCUUCCUGGCUGCUGAAUUUGGCUCAAGCAGGUGAACCAAAUGUAUGGUUUGCGCCGAACUAGCGUGCGGAGGACUCGCUACCUAGAUUAGGAAAGGCGGCACAUUUCUGGGAAUUUGGUCCCGGCUCUUAGAGCCCUGAGUAUCUUUCCUAUGCCAGACCUGGAGCAGACGUCGGAGCUGGAGGGACUGGAGAGAUGGCUCAGCACUGAAGAGCACUGACUGCUCUUCCAGAGGACCUCGGUUUGAUUCCCAGCACCCACAUGACAAUGGACAGCUGUCUGUAACUACAGUUCCAAGAGAUCUGAACUCUUCUGGUUUUCUCAGGGACCAGGCAUGCACAUAGUACAUAGUCAUACAUUCAUGCAGACAAACACACAUAAAAUAAUUUUUAAAAAUUUCAAAUAAACUCCUUAGUCUCCAGUA